rnacentral:rRNA from 1 species
AUGAUCCGCCUGAGUAGUAUGCUCGCAAGAGUGAAACUUAAAGGAAUUGACGGGAACCCGCACAAGCGGUGGAGCAUGUGGUUUAAUUUGAAGAUACGCGUAGAACCUUACCCACUCUUGACAUCCUCGCAAAACUAUAGAGAUAUAGCGGAGGCUAACGAGAUGACAGAUGGUGCAUGGUUGUCGUCAGCUCGUGUCGUGAGAUGUUAGGUUAAGUCCUGCAACGAGCGCAACCCUUUUCUUUAGUUGCUAACAUUAAGUUGAGAACCCUAGAGAUACUGCCGGUGCAAACCGGAGGAAGGCGGGGAUGACGUCAAAUCAUCAUGCCUCUUACGAGUGGGGCAACACACGUGCUACAAUGGCUACUACAAAGAGCAGCGAAACAGUGAUGUCAAG